UUCCCGAGCUGUCAGGCCGUCAAGUGUGCAAAUUAGUUUGUUUGGUUUCGUUUUUAUGCAUGCGCUUAACCCACUUGUCUCCUGUGUGCCUAGAAUUGAUCGCCUAAAAAUAACUGCAUAUUCGAGCUUCGAUUGUGCAACACACUGGUACUUUCGCCACCAGGAAGUUGUUUGUAAUUAUCGUAUAAUUAGCGAGGUGAUAAUUAAAAAGGUCUGAGGUAGCCCCAAUCGUGAUCGAUUAAUUUAGAGAUCUGCCACCUAUCCAUCCGCUUCGCCCACAGCCUCUCCGGCAAUUCAUUUCCACUUCCCCAGCCCGAUCUGAUCCGCAAAGCGAACUACACCCACACCCGGCCGGCUGCAGUCCGAGCGACUCAACCAAUAGCUCCCAUUCCGAUCAUCCGUUAAUUGCGACUAAUGGAUUUGCUUACCUGUAGACGAUUUUCAGUUAAUAUUCUAAUUUGUUCUCCCCACCCCAGCCUCCCCCUAAGCGCUUGUAAUUAGUUUCCAGAGGAAAUUGCCAACGACUACGCACGCUGUGGGCGUAGGAAAAAAAACACGAAAAUCCAAAUCUAGACUCUUCCUCUAUCGGCACUGGAGAGAUAGAAGGCAAGCGGGCGAU